AUUGAACGCUGGCGGCAGGCCUAACACAUGCAAGUCGAGCGGAUGAAGGGAGCUUGCUCCUGGAUUCAGCGGCGGACGGGUGAGUAAUGCCUAGGAAUCUGCCUGGUAGUGGGGGAUAACGUCCGGAAACGGGCGCUAAUACCGCAUACGUCCUGAGGGAGAAAGUGGGGGAUCUUCGGACCUCACGCUAUCAGAUGAGCCUAGGUCGGAUUAGCUAGUUGGUGGGGUAAGGCCUACCAAGGCGACGAUCCGUAACUGGUCUGAGAGGAUGAUCAGUCACACUGGAACUGAGACACGGUCCAGACUCCUACGGGAGGCAGCAGUGGGGAAUAUUGGACAAUGGGCGAAAGCCUGAUCCAGCCAUGCCGCGUGUGUGAAGAAGGUCUUCGGAUUGUAAAGCACUUUAAGUUGGGAGGAAGGGCAGUAAGUUAAUACCUUGCUGUUUUGACGGUACCAACAGAAUAAGCACCGGCUAACUUCGUG
rnacentral:rRNA from 1 species